GUCUACUUGAUCCUUCGGGUGAUGGUGGCGGACGGGUGAGUAACGCGUAAAGAACUUGCCCUGCAGUCUGGGACAACAUUUGGAAACGAAUGCUAAUACCGGAUAUUAUACGAAUCUUGCAUGAGAUUCGUAUGAAAGCUAUAUGCGCUGCAGGAGAGCUUUGCGUCCUAUUAGCUAGUUGGUGAGGUAACGGCUCACCAAGGCGAUGAUAGGUAGCCGGCCUGAGA
rnacentral:rRNA from 1 species